GCCGCCGCCCCAUCUUCCGGCGGCGUCGCACGCCGCCCGGGUCCGUCUCCCGCAAUCCCCAGACAUCCGCAUCUUCCCGCGCUGUCGGCUCUGUCAGCGCCGCUGUCCUGCGUCGUAGUCGCGGUGCCCGGGGAGUGUCUCGUGACUGCUGUUCCAUGGAUGUGAGACGCGACCUCAGGGAGAACCUGAUCAAGAGGUCCCAGGUGGGUCUGCAUGUGCAGAGGCUCCAUGGGAGGUGUCAUCUUACCAGCCCGCGGUAGGCUGUGGGGCCCGAGCAGGCUGACUGGCUGCCUUCCGUGCUGUGCACCCGCCGAUGUGUUCCGGAAGCAGAAACCCCGCAGCGGUACCUUCACUCUGUGGACUCAGAGACAGCCUGGUGCUCCUGAGAGAGACAGCCUGGUGCCCCCGAGAGGAAUGUCUUGGCUCCCAGGUCAGCCUUAGAUCUGGAGCUGUUGAAGUAAGUCCCAAGGCCAUGAGUUCAGGGACCCUCGGGAUGACUUGGCAUCUGGGUUUGCUGAUAUGUCUCCCCAAGAUUCUCUUGGUGUUAGGGGACAGCAGAAGAACAGAGGAUGGCGAGGGAGUCCCUGCAGAACGCAUCCCCAGAGCACUCCUGCUGUGACUCAGAGCAUCAUGAAUCAACUCUUCACUCCACAUAGGAGAUCAGAGGGAAAGUGCUGGGGCCAGGGCUCGGGCUGGGGUCCACGUCAGCUGGCUGAGGCUUGACAACAGUGCCCUGAGAAGCCAUGGACAGAGAAGGCCAGCCCCAUGUUCCUCUGCUAUGCCUGGAAUGACCUUAAUGACCAAGACUUUUUCUCUUGUGUUGCAGCUGCUCAUCACUUUACUCUCUGCCCACCAUUCAGUAAACCUUACAGACUCGCUGUGCCUGCCUUUUAAGUCCAUAACAAGCCUUGUGCCACCGAGGCUGGGUGUGGAGAAGUGGAUCACAGGCCAGUCUUGUUUUCACCCCCUGAGCCUCUCCUGUCAUGCUCCUGGGGCUUGGCACACAGGCCGCAGUCUGAGGUGUUGCAUUAGGACUGGGACAGUAGCUGGCUCAGAUUCAGGGCCCAUGAAAGAAUCGAAGGUUCGAGGAACAGUCAGGCCAGGGCUUUGGAAGGGUGGCUGGUGACAGCGGGCUGGAGUGAGGCAGGCACCGAUGUCACUGAGGAAGCUGGGUUGGCCCGAGUUUUGGGGCCUGGCUCCUGAGUAAAUGCCUGCUUUUGUGGCCAGCCGACCUAGUUUGCCUGGGAUUGAGGGGUUUCCCAGGACAUGGGACUUUCAUUGUUAAAUCCAGAAAGGUCCUGGGCAAACUGGAACUAGUUGGUCAACUUACCUCGGGAGUCAAAUACAUGAUGUCAGCCUGAGGACAGGCUACUGAGUAAAGGUGGGAGGCAGCAGGGUGAAGGUGGAGCAGCUGCUGUUGAUGGACCUUGUGGCUAUCCUCAAGGUCAGGCUUUUGGAGAUAAUUGUGGUAAGUCAAUAAUUGCAAUAAUGUGAUGAUGGUCUAAGGGUGUGCAUGUGUGAACUUUUUAAUUCCCAUGUUAUAGAUGGAUGGGUCUUCAUAGAGGAAAUAGGUCCCAAAGGCUGUGAUGAAAGGCUGGAGUUAAUUGUCCAAUUUCUGCACUUGAACUUGCCUUGAUGAGUUUGACACCUUGAUGGGCUCCUUUUCGGGGGCAGGCAGGUGUUCUUCAUGGCUGAAGUGUUCACUCUGCCAGCCAGUUCCUGACACAGGCAUCCAGAAGUCUUUAUUUUUAUUUUUUUUAUUUUUUGGCCUUCCCUGUGGCCUGUCUUGACUUUUUUUUAGCAGCCUUUAGUCAGCUGGUUGUGGCUGCAUGAAAAAACGCCAAGGGAAGGAUCUGGGUCCACUUGAGAAAGCUGUGCCUGGUUGGGAAUGUGUGCUGCCAUGGAGGAAGAGCAGAACGUGGGCCAGUACUUAAAAAGUGUGCAUGGAGACACUUGGCGUGUCCCACGGGGCACCAGGUCAUGCCCGCCUCGCAUGCGGCAUGGGAAGCAUGAGCCAUGUCAAGUGUUGAGGGCCUGAGGAAAUCUGAGAAGAGCAUUCCAGCCAGCGUGACCUAGGAACCAGGCUUAAGGUCAUGGAGCUAUGAUCCUUGCUGGGAGAUGUGCAAGCUUCCUGGAGGGCCUGGUGGAGCAGGGAGUGGGAGAUUUCCAUAGCAGAAUUGAGAGCUAGAAGUAAUGGAGAGCUGGUCAGAGUGAAGGUCCGUCCAUUAAAAAGAAAAGCAUUUAUUCAUGAGCCAGGCACCAUGCUUAGAAGUAGGGGUACAAUGGGAAAUAGCAUGGUUUGUGCACUUCAGGUAUUCCUGAAAUGACUAUAGAUAAUAAUGUGUUUAUAUGCUGAAUGUCUGUGGAACAUGCAUUUGUAUUGGGCACUGCUGUAGGUGUUGGGGGUACCACUCCAAACAAAACACAGGAGGCCUCAGCUUAUUUAGAACUGCAGUCCAUUAUGGUAAUGUAAAGUGUAAAGUUCCCAUCUUCACUUGCACAAGCCGUAGUUCAAGUGCUUGGUAGCCCCAAGUGGCUGCCGUGUUGGGUAGUGCAGGUAUCAAAGACUGUUUCUAUCACCACAAGAAGUGUGGUGUUGAAAAGAAAACCCAUGGGCCCCAAAGUGGCAUCACUGAGGCCAAGUCCCCAAACCCGGACAUAAUACCUAAUCUAAUUGCAGUUUCAACCUCCCCCGGAAAUGUAGUCUUACCUGGUCAGUCACAAGUUCUCUGAUGGGUGCCAAGGAGUCCUACCACAGGGGCCCUCUCCAUCCCCAAAGGAGGAUGGGAGUAAUCUACCUGAUUAGAACCCCCUCCUGUUCCCCCUAAGGGAAAGCCUUGCCUGGAACAAUUUUUUUGCAAAUAACUUUCUUGCCCCACCUUCCUUCCCUAGAAACCUUUCUGUUCAAUCUCUUGGAGCUCCCCUCUGCUUGUUAGAUGGGAUGCUGCCUGAUUCAUGAAUUGUUUAAUAAAGCCAACUAGAUCCUCAGAUGUACCUGGCUGAAUUUUGUUUGACGUCAGACAGCACUGGUCUAGAAGGUUAGGAGUUCAAGUUUAAAAACAUGAUUGAAGAGUGUUGCUGGACACCUUUACGGAAAAGCCGUUACUUGAGUCCAAAGAGGAUUGGUGCCAUGUCCCUGCUGAUCAGGGUGGUUCUGAGUGUUGGUGGAUAAACCUGGGGCAGCAGCCUGCAGGGGUGUGGAUCACUGGCUUUGGAGUCCCACAGACCUGGGGUUUAACCCUCUUGGGUGACAUAAGGCAAGUUUGUACUACCUGACCUUGGUUUCCUCUUACAAAACGAGAACCACAGCUUUACAGGAUAUGGUAAGGUAGGGAUUAAACAGACUGUUGUAUGAAAAAGUCUGUGUAGGGCGCCUGGGUGGCUCAGGUGGUUAAGCGUCUGCCUUCGGCUCAGGU